AACGAACGCUGGCGGCAUGCCUAACACAUGCAAGUCGAACGCGACCUUCGGGUCUAGUGGCGCACGGGUGCGUAACGCGUGAGAACCUGCCCUUAGGUUCGGAAUAACUCCCCGAAAGGGGUGCUAAUACCGGAUAAUGUCUUCGGACCAAAGAUUUAUCGCCUUUGGAUGGGCCCGCGUUGGAUUAGCUAGUUGGUAGGGUAAAAGCCUACCAAGGCGACGAUCCAUAGCUGGUCUGAGAGGAUGAUCAGCCACACUGGGACUGAGACACGGCCCAGACUCCUACGGGAGGCAGCAGUGGGGAAUAUUGGACGAUGGGCGAGAGCCUGAUCCAGCAAUGCCGCGUGAGUGAUGAAGGCCUUAAGGUUGUAAAGCUCUUUUACCCGGGAUGAUAAUGACAGUACCGGGAGAAUAAGCUCCGGCUAACUCCGUG
rnacentral:rRNA from 1 species